rnacentral:rRNA from 1 species
GACGAACCGUGCGAACGUUGUUCGGAAUCACUGGGCUUAAAGGGCGCGUAGGCGGGUUCGCAAGUCUGUGGUGAAAGCCUCCAGCUUAACUGGAGAAGUGCCGUGGAUACUGCGAAUCUUGAGGAGGGUAGGGGCGUCUGGAACGGUCGGUGGAGCGGUGAAAUGCGUUGAUAUCGACCGGAACUCCGGUGGCGAAGGCGAGGCGCUGGACCCUUUCUGACGCUGAGGCGCGAAAGCCAGGGGAGCGAACGGG